AUGUGCGCCUUAAGCACCCAUUUGCAGAGUGCUGGUUGGAUGAAACCUGUGUUUGAGGGUCCCUCUCAGAAGGCUGUAUGUUGCAGGGGGAAUGUGGGACAUCCAUACUCUGUGAGCUCUGUCCUGAAACAAGCGUGCGCAGACUGUGGUGGUACCGCUGAUGGCAGUGGAGCUCCAGCAGCACAGAGCAGCAGAGGACCCAGCCCGUCCAGAACAACGUGAACAUCAGUUCCUCCGUUUUCUUGUUUAGUUGUGAAAACUGGUGCGAUUCCUCUCUCUGAUGAAGUGGCAAACCCGUCUUCCAGGAUACCAGCUGGCAGGGUGAGUUUGCUGUUGCUGGUCGAGGUCAGGCCCCACAUCACCCACGCUGCAGGACGUGGCCCUUCUGCUUCCAUGGCCCUGAGCUCACGCUUCUUCCAGGG